CAAGGACUAAACCUCUGAACCUGGAGAGGCCCAGCUUGAGUGCUUGGAGUGGUUUCAUUGUGCAUCUUGGAUUAGACCAAAGUAAAUUCCAAGGCAGCAGACAUCAUUUGCACAGAGGAAACCAGAACCCACUGCAGACACAGGCAUGAUAACUGUGAAGCAGCAGAGCAAUAAGACGAAGCAAUUCAGAAUUCUGUCUGAGCACAAAAUCAAGAAUGCUGACACACCCACAAAAAGAACAAAGUAUAUUCCUUCUCACCCAAUAUAAGGAGCUGCAGUUGCUUCAGGAGGAUGGCCUUGGGGACUGAUCUGAGAACUGGCUCCUACCUGCUUCCGGCAUAGCCCUAGACCAGCAGCUCUCCAGGAAUCCUUCAAUCCUCUGGUAUGGCCGAGACACUCAGCCUUUGCUGAGAAACCACUGACCUGUCAGCCGCUCUGGGAGAACCCUGGCUAAUGCAGUGUCUAGUCAUCGGAUGACCAGUGCUUCCUGGAAGCCCUAACCCGAGCAAAUGCUUAUUACCUUGAAGUCAUUACCAAACCACCCGCUGUAUGUCCUUCGAACCUUAUACCCGAUGUCACCCCAGAACUAGUACCUCUGUGCCAGUGUGUUCCCCAAAAUGUCCCCAAACUAGUCCCCUCCCCAACCAAAUUCCAUGUUUUAGGCUCUGAUCUACUGUUAUACACAGCCUUAAACAAAAUAGAAAGACUGCUUAAAAGUU